rnacentral:misc_RNA from 1 species
GAUGAAGAACGUAGUGAAAUGCGAUAAGUAAUGUGAAUUGCAGAAUUCCGUGAAUCAUCGAAUCUUUGAACGCACAUUGCGCCCCCUGGUAUUCCGGGGGGCAUGCCUGUCCGAGCGUCAUUGCAACCUUCAAGCGCGGCUUGUGUGUUGGGUCUCGUCCCCCGUGGACGGGCCCGAAAGGCAGUGGCGGCGUCCCGACAUGGUGCCCGAGCGUAUGGGAAUCCUCUUCCGCUCGAAUCGGCCCAUGCGGCGCUGGUCGUAACCAAUUUUUUUACCGGUUGACCUCGGAUCAGGUAGGGAUACCCGCUGAACUUAAGCAUAUCAAUAAGCGGAGGA